UACAGAGGUGGCGAGUGUUGUUCGGAUUUACUGGGCGUAAAGGGUCCGCAGGCGGCUUUGUGUGUCAGAUGUGAAAGCCCACGGCUUAACCGUGGAAUGGCAUUUGAAACUACAGAGCUAGAGUACAGGAGAGGAUAGGGGAAUUCAUGGUGUAGCGGUGAAAUGCGUAGAUAUCAUGAAGAACACCGGUGGCGAAAGCGCCUAUCUGGACUGAUACUGACGCUCAGGGACGAAAGCCAGGGGAGCAAAGAGGAUUAGAUACCCUCGUAGUCCUGGCCAUAAACGGUGCGCACUUGAUGUGGGAGGUUUACCCCCUUCCGUGUCGAAGCUAACGCGAUAAGUGCGCCGCCUGGGAAGUACGGCCGCAAGGUUA
rnacentral:rRNA from 1 species